GCCGCUUAACCGACUGCGCCACCCAGGCGCCCCUGUCACACUAUAUCUUAAUUAUCUUUUCAGUUACUAUUAUUUUUACCGAUCUGGCUGCUCAUCGAUGUAUUGUUUCCCUUGAAGGUAGAACAGUGGCAUGUGGUAAAGAGUAAAAUCUUUGUUGGAUGGCUAGAACUGACACAGGGAGUUUGUGAAUUGCUUACAAAGCUGAAGUAGUUAAGCUUGAUCAUGUAAGUAGUGAGUGGAGCAGUUUAACAGU